GAUGAAGAACGUAGCGAAAUGCGAUACGUAAUGUGAAUUGCAGAAUUCAGUGAAUCAUCGAAUCUUUGAACGCAUAUUGCGCUCUCUGGUAUUCCGGAGAGCAUGCUUGUUUGAGUAUCAGUAAACACCUCAACUUCCAUAUCUUUUUUGAAAUGGGAGUUGGACUUGAGUGAUCCCAACGCUUUUCCUCACCGAAAAGCGGCGGGUUACUUGAAAUGCAGGUGCAGCUCGACUUUUCUCUGAGCUAUAAGCAUAUCUAUUUAGUCUGCCUAAAAAACAGAUUAUUACCUUUGCUGCAGCUAACAUAAAGGAGAUUAGUUCUUGUGCUGACUGAUGCAGGAUUCACAAAGACAGGCUUCGGCCGACUUUGUAAACUCGAUCUCAAAUCAAGUAAGACUACCCGCUGAACUUAAGCAUAUCAAUAAGCGGAGGA
rnacentral:misc_RNA from 1 species